rnacentral:rRNA from 1 species
UACGUAGGCAGCAAGCGUUGUUCGGAGUUACUGGGCGUAAAGGGUGUGUAGGCGGUUCUUUUAAGUUUGGUGUGAAAUCUCCCGGCUCAACUGGGAGGGUGCGCCGAAUACUGAGGGACUAGAGUACGGGAGAGGAAAGUGGAAUUCCUGGUGUAGCGGUGAAAUGCGUAGAUAUCAGGAGGAACACCGGUGGUGUAGACGGCUUUCUGGACCGACACUGACGCUGAGACACGAAAGCGUGGGGAGCGAUCCGG